GACGAACGCUGGCGGCGUGCUUAACACAUGCAAGUCGAACGGAAAGGCCCUGCUUUUGGGGGGUGCUCGAGUGGCGAACGGGUGAGUAACACGUGAGUAACCUGCCAUUGACUUUGGGAUAACUUCAGGAAACUGGGGCUAAUACCGGAUAGGAGCUCCUGCUGCAUGGUGGGGGUUGGAAAGUUUCGGCGGUUGGGGAUGGACUCGCGGCUUAUCAGCUUGUUGGUGGGGUAGUGGCUUACCAAGGCUUUGACGGGUAGCCGGCCUGAGAGGGUGACCGGCCACAUUGGGACUGAGAGACGGCCCAGACUCCUACGGGAGGCAGCAGUGGGGAAUAUUGCACAAUGGGCGGAAGCCUGAUGCAGCAACGCCGCGUGCGGGAUGACGGCCUUCGGGUUGUAAACCGCUUUCGCCUGUGACGAAGCGUGAGUGACGGUAAUGGGUAAAGAAGCACCGGCUAACUACGUG
rnacentral:rRNA from 1 species